rnacentral:lncRNA from 1 species
UGACAUAUAUUUUCGUAUGUAUUUUUUCAUUUCCACCUCUUUUUGCAAUACUACUUUCUUGUAAAGUGUAGGUUAUCGUUGACAGGUGAUUGAUCUCUUUUUAGGCAAGCAAUUUUAGCUUCUCUGACGUCAAAUUUUAGGGUACGCCCUCAGUAUAGGUACCCCUUGGGUCCCCGGUGCAGCAGGUGGAGCAAGGUUGCUCCACAAUGAUGUCAUACCUAAAUACGGAUAUGACAUCAUCAUGACUAUGCAUGAUGUAAUUGUGACGUCAGAUCUAAAAGCGAAUAUGACAUCAUCAUGAUUAUGCACGAGUCAUUUCCUGUUUUAAUUAAAGGGGAUAAUGAGGAGAAAAUGGGUAUUCCCCCAUGCAUGAAGUGCUAAGUCAAUAGUGUGAAUUGUUUUCGGAUUUCCCCAUCUCUUAUAAUUCGUUUUUCUUUUAUCGUUAUUGAUUCACCAGGCUCACCUUGAAUCAAUUCUUUGAGGCUAUCAUGGUUGAUUACCAUGGAGUUAGCGGUAUUUAAGGUAAAACCCCUCACUUUGCAGACGGUGUUACCUUUAUUGGUCCGAUAACUAUAAUUCUUCGGACCACCGCAAAGCCAAGUUUGGUUGUAUUCUUGAUGAUUGGGAUCUAUCUCAUCAGUAAGAUCACCAAGGUAGUCCCCGGUUUUGGGAUCAUCGUGUUCGUGAGAAGGAUCCUCUUCUCCCUCUUCUUCCCUCUCUUCGCCUCCUGCACUUUUUUCUUUUCCUUCUGCUCUACCUUGUUCACUUCCCUUUUUCUUCUUUUUGCUGUGUCUCUUCCAUGUCUUUCCAAGAAAUCCUCGUAGUCGGAGUCAUAGUAUAAUUCUGGAACCGGCAACGCUGCCUCUCCGGUGGGUAAUGCGCCACCAUUUUGUCAAACGCCCUGAACAUGAUGUCGACAGCGUUGCUCAGCCCGUAGACUUUAGAGUCAAUCCAAUAUUUUUUUGGAACCAUCUGCUCCAAGUACAUGUAUUUCAUUUGACGUUGAAGAUAGUCUAUAAAGGGUUUUGCGUCCAGGAGGGUUGGCCGUUUAUGCAUAGCCCUCGAUGUGUGUAGAUAUAUCUGUUCGAUCUGUGAAACGUCUAAUUCACUUACGAUUUUUUUCAUUACCAAUCCUGGUUCGUACAAUCUUUCACCAUCCUUCCCUACAAUGAAGUCGGGACCAUAUGCCGCUUUGCUAAUCGCAUCCAUUAAGGUGAUGUACUCAAUGAUGUGGUACAGUUCAGUAAUACGCAUUUCAUCAUUCACAUGUGCGUUACACGUAAAGUAGUCUGAAGGGAUUUCCAUGUCAACUUGUAAGAUUGCAAACUAAGAGAAUGAUAUUUGACGUAGGUCUAUCCCUAGUUCGAAAUUUCGAAUCGUAAAUGAUAUUCACUGUGUGAUGAUUGUUUAUAACUUUAUCGAGAGAUAAUGAGGGUGCGCUGCGUGGAAAUGUCAACAUUUUAGGGUGGACUUGACGGUCCCCGCAUCGUGCAAAAUAUUUACUCUCCAUUUUGAAUUCUAUUGUUUCAUAUCGAUGACAAAAGAAAGGAUGAUUCCAUCGGCUCUAUCGGUAAACUAGAACCUACCAUGAAUAGAUCCAAGUGGGAUCGUGGUUAAGUGCCGAGAGGAAAGGUCAACAUUUUAGGGUGGACUUGACGGUCCCUGCAUCGUGAAAAACAUUUACUCUCCAUUUUAAAUUCUAUUGUUUCAUACCGAUAACAAAAGAAAGGAUUAUUCCAUCGGCUCUAUCGGUAAACUAGAACCUACCAUGAAUAGAUUCAAGUUGGAUCGUGGUUAAGUGCCGAGAGGAAAGGUCAACAUUUUAGGGUGGACUUGAAGGUCCCCGCAUCGUGAUAAACAUUUACUUUCCAUUUUAAAUUCUAUUGUUUCAUACCGAUGAUAAAAGAAAGGAUGAUUCCAUCGGCACUAUCGAUAAGA